rnacentral:lncRNA from 1 species
CAACCGAUCCCCCUCCUCUCCUUCCUUCGCCGCCGCCCGGUAAGUCCUCGCUCGUGCCCCAUAGCCGUCGCCCGCAUCAUGGCCGAGGCAAGCUGGAGCUCGUCCCCGCCGUAGGAUCCGCCAGCAGCGCCCCGCCUCCCUCCAAACGCUCCGGGUGAUCGUCAUCGUCUUCUUCCUGCUGUGAACCAAGGUAGAAGACGCCAAGUCCGGCUACUUCCCCGUCGUCCUCUUCCUCCCCUGCUUCGCGGACAGCAGCCCCGCCAGGUUCAGAGCUCGUCCGCGUCGCCGCAAGCUCGUCCGCGUCGCCGCAGGCUCGUCUCCGUCAUCGUCUUCUUGUCCUAGGGUAAGGAGGUAUUCCCAACUUCCUCCCUGCUCCUUCCUGUCGUCAAUAGAUCACCGUAGGCGCUGCUUCGAUUCAAUCUUUCCCGUGCUCUCGGUGCUCUGUCGAUCUCUGUAGUUUUAGUUGCGCAUGUUUUGCUGCUGCACGUGCACACGCCGCUUGCGUUCCGCGAGCUCGUGCUCGAGCGUUUGCUCGCGCACCCCUACAACAGCACUCCCUUGCACUUCCCGCAGGCCCGCUGCUGCUCUGCGUCGCAAGCCGUCGCCUUAUCGCUCUUCAACGCAGGCGCCGGUGAUUUCUGUGUUGCCAACACCAAAGGCUCGGCCUUCUGGCCCUGGUUCAAAAGGAGCCAGGCGCCUCUCUAGGUACACACACCUCCCUCUAGCGCACUGGUUAGCCUGCCUCUUUCUUACCUAGGAGACUUGGGUUCGAGUCCCAGGUUCCACGUCUUUUUAGUGGUGGCUUUUAUUUUCACUGUGACUAUGACGCCUUGGUCCGACUGUCAUCCACACACCCAGCCACGUGGACCACGGCCCUACCAGUCAGUCUAACGGCUCGGUACAGCUUGGGUGCACCUAGUUUUCCCGGCAUGACUUCUGUUUUAUUCCAAUUCGGAACAUGCCAGAUUUGGCAUAUGCUGAGGUUUCCAUUUAGGGCAGGUUUUAACUUAUUGCACUCGUGAUGAUUUUUCUACAGCAACCCCAACAUAUUAUAUACGUUUUUCGGGUAGAAAAAUCCCACCAAUCCAGUGGUGGCAUUAGUUUCUGCAUUUGAGAAAGUUCAUGAACAUGUCAUUUUACAUCAUGUUGCUGUUUUGUCUUUCAUGUGUAUAUUUAUGCAAUUAUGCUAUGAGGUAGUUUUGCACAUGAACAUGCUCUUCAUCAUGCCUACUUGCUUCUGGAAUUAAGCUCCUUCCAUGAUAUGUUUUAUUUUGAGUUAAACAACCUUGUUAACAUGCCAACAUGAAUCUGUUUUUGCCAUGUCCUGAAACUUCACUAAGUCUGGAACUGUUAAUAAAAACUUGCUAUGUUCACAUGGGUGCCAUCAUAUUUUCUGAUCGUUUUUGGCUUAUGGUCAGUAAGGGACAUUUGAUCUAUGCUUUGAGUAGAUUCAUGCCAUGUCUUGUUUUUCUAUUAUAAGUUCAUGUAGCAUGUUGAUAACUUGCUCUGAACAUCGCUUCGCGAUGCUGUUUAUGCCAUGUCCUAUCUGAUAUUUUUUGCACUUUCACCAUUCUUAUUUGAACCUGUUAUGAUGUGAUUUAGCCGUAGCUCAGUGUUCCUCUUUUGUUAAGCAUCUCUUGUAGAUCACUUCCAUAUGUUUUUUUUAUGUUGGGGUGCUGUAGCAUAGUUUCUUGUUGCAUGCUAAGUAGCAUCAUGCUGUUAAUCGCAACUUUGCGUCAUUCUUGUUUUGCUUGCCAUUUGCAAACCGUGCAUCUGUUUCCGGUGAUCCUUAUAUCGAUUUCAACCGAAAUCAUCUCAUCUUUCCAGCAGCAUACUUGGUUUGCCAAGUUGAUGCCUUGUUCAUCCUUUUUCCUCCCGAAGCAUGCAUAUGCAUUGCAUAUCACAUCUCGCAUAUCAUGACAUGUAUUGCAUCAUGUUGCUUAUGCACUUCACCGUGAUUUAUUGUGGUUCCUUUGCUUGUGUUCUUGCUUUGGGUAGAGCCGGGAGAUGAGUACAUGCACGAGGAACCUGUUGAGAACGCUUACGAGGAUCAAGCCUUCGACUACUCUGAGAACCUUGCAGGCAAGAUGACCAUACCUUCGAUAUCACUUCUAUCUUUGCUUGCUAGUACUUGCUCUAUCGCUAUGUUAGCUCUACCUGCCAUUGUUUAUCAUGCGACCCUAUUGCCCUGUCAAACCUCUAAUCAUCCUGUCCUAGCAAACGUUGUUUGGCUAUGUCACCGCUUUUGCUCAGCCCCUCUUAUAGCAUUGUUAGUUGCUGGUGAAGAUGAAGUUUGUUCCUAGUCGGAACAUGGAUAUUUUGGGAUAUCACAAUAUAUCCUGUUUAAAUUAAUGCACCUUAUAUACUUGGUAAAGGGUGGAAGGCUCGGCCUUAUGCCUGGUGACUUGUUCCAAUCUUGCCGCCCUAGUUUCCAUCAUACCGGUGUUAUGUUCCUUGAUUUUGCGUUCCUUACACGGUUGGGUGAUUUAUGGGACCCCCUUAACAGUUCGCUUUGAAUAAAACUCCUCCAGCAAGGCCCAACCUUGGUUUUACCAUUUGCCACCUAUACCACUUUUUCCCUUGGGUUUUCGCGAGCCCGAGGGUCAUCUUUAUUUUAACCCCCCCGGGCCAGUGCUCCUUCGAGUGUUGAUCCGAAACGGGAAGACUGCGAGGCCACCUCGGGGCAACUCGAGGGCUGGUUUUACUCGUAGGCUGACCUAUCCGGUGUGCCCUGAGAACGAGAUACGUGCGACUCCUAUCGGGAUUUGUCGGCACAUCGGGCGGCUUUGCUGGUCUUGUUUUACCAUUGUCGAAAUGUUUUGUGAACCGGGAUUCCGAGACUGGUCGGGUCUUCCCGGGAGAAGGUAUAUCCUUCGUUGACCGUGAGAUCUUGUGAUGGGCUAAGUUGGGACACCCCUGCAGGGUAUAUAAUCUUUCGAAAGCCGUGCCCGCGGUUAUGAGGCAGAUGGGAAUUUGUUAAUGUCCGGUUGUAGAUAACUUGACACUUGACUUCAUUAAAAUGCAUCAACCGCGUGUGUAGCCGUGAUGGUCUCUUCUCGGCGGAGUCCGGGAAGUGAACACGGUUUGAGUUAUGCUUGACGUAAGUAGAUUCAGGAUCACUUCUUGAUCACUUCUAGCUUCUCGACCGAUGCGUUGCUUCUCUUCUCGCUCUCACUUGCGUAUGUUAGCCACCAUAUAUGCUUAGUGCUUGCCGCAGCUCCACCAUUUUACCCCUUUACCUACCUAUGAGCUUAAAUAGUCUUGAUCUCGCGGGUGUGAGAUUGCUGAGUACCCGUGGCUCACAGAUUCUACCAAAACAGAUGCAGGUGCCGAGGAUACCAGCGCAGAUGGCGCAACUGAUCUGAAGUGGGAAUUUGAUGAGGCCCUUGGUCGUUACUAUGUAUCGUUUCCAGAUGAUCAGUAGUGGAGUCCAGUCGGGGCGAUCGGGGAUCUAGCAUUUGGGGUUGUCUUCUUUUCAUUUGAACUUGACCGUAGCCGGUCUAUGAGUGUAUUUUGAAUGAUGUAUGAUCUUAAAUUAUGUAUUGUGUGAAGUGGCGAUCGUAAGCCAACUCUCUUUAUCCCAUUCUUGUUCAUUACAUGGGAUUGUGUGAA